CUCCCUGGAGACGAAGGGCAGCAUGACCAGGAGCCCCCUCCACCUCCCCCUGAUCCAGCCCCUAAACAGCCUUGGGAGGUGGGGUUGGGGGUCCUGAGUAACAGAUGAGGACACAGAGCUGCUCUGCCAGGGCCAGGACCAGGCCAGACACCACUGUGGGUCAGGACAAAGGAAGGACAGUGGAGCACAGGACCUCUCGGAGGCUGAGAGUGGUGCAGCCCAUGUGUGGGGUUGGCUAUGGGCAGACAAUGAGGUGGCCAGUGUGCAGUGACACCACAGGGACACUGCAAAGGUCAGAGCUGAGAUGAGCUGCCGGCCCUACCAUGUGCUUACUCUGAGCCACCUAGCCUCGGCAUGCUUCAGUUUACUCAUCUGCUCAUCUGCAGAAUGGGCGAUGCUGUCAGUACUUUGUGGCAUACAGGAAAGUGCCCAGCAUGGUCAGCCUCUGUGAGAGGUGGCCAGUGGGGAGUGGUGGCCACUGUACACCUGGCACAGCCCAGAGAUGCACGUGUCACUCUGUCGUGUGCUUUAACCAAGGGGCGCUCUGGCAGGGCUUGGGUGGGACUUCCCAAAGGGCAUGGAAAAGUUCCCAGUCAACGAGAGCCAUGGAGACCUAUGGGAGUGGGGGUCAGCCCCAGCCUAAGAGGCCCCCCAGCCCUGCCCUGUGCCCCAGGACACACCAGGCACUGUCCCUUGCUGCUGUCCCAGACAAUCUGUACCCUCCAGGCCACCAGUUCUCGUCCAUGACAAAGAAAGGAGCCUUCUAAAUAAGUGCCCGCCAGAGGCUGCAUGCUUCCCUGCCCUUUCCGGGUGGAUCUGGGUUUCAAAGAGAAGCUGCCAGUGCAACGCGUGAUGCCCCAACGGAGUACUUCAUGGGCAGUACAGCCUGGUGCAGGAGGGUGGGGCUCCGAAGUACAGAAGCCAUCGUGGCCCGCACCUGUUGGUGGCCAGACCCAUGACCUCUGGGAAAGAGAGUUCCAGCAGCGUCUUCUCCCGCUGGUCCAGGAAGCAAAGCCCCUUCCAGUUAACAGCCAAGAUCAGCUGCGUCUUGGGCAGGCGGGGGCCUGGCCAGGAGAGACGGCAAUGUGAAGGCUGCAUGGGACCCCUGGGUGCCCAGCCCAUACCCGCUCCCUGCCCCCCGUCAGAUGCCAUUACCUGAGAGUGUGAUGACUUCAAAGAGCCGGGAGAAGAGCAGCGGCCACUGCAGGCGGGCGGCAUCCACCACCUGCUCUCGCACGGCCAGUGGUGUGGCUUGCCUCUGAGUGUAUGGGGCCUGAGGGGGGAUCCUGGAUGUCACCUCCAUCACCUGCCUCCCCUAGUGAAUCCCUCACCUAGUGCUCAGGGUAAAAGAUUUGAUGGAUCCUUUUGAGAAGGCUCUACAAGGCCAGUGUCUGGAGACGAAUCCUGUAGGGAGGCACCUGGGACGUCCCCAGGGACUGGUGCAGCCCUAUCCUUUUUUUUUCUUUUUUGAGACAGAGUCUCGCUCUGUUACCCAGGCUGGAGUGCAGUGGUGCGAUGCCGGCUCACUGCAAGCUCCGCCUCCCGAGUUCAAGUGAUUCUCCUGUCUCAGCCUCCCGAGUAGCUGGGACUACAGGCGCGUGCCACUGCGCCCGGCUAAUUUCUGCAUUUUUAGUAGAGACGGGGUUUCGCCACGUUGGCCAGGCUGGUCUCAAACUCCUGACCUCAGGUGAUCCACCUGCCUUGGCUUCCCAAAGUGCUGGGAUUACAGGUGUGAGCCACCACGUCCAGCCUGGCGCCGCCGUAUUCUACCUGGGAGGGGUGUGGGGACCCUUUAGGAGGAGAGAGGAAGGCCAUCCCGUCCCCUCAUUAGCAUCUGUAGGGCGGGCUGCGCUAGCUGUGGAAGGUGCUGUCUGUGUGCCCCAGCCCAGGCUCCCUCUUGCCAGCCUAUGCCUUGCGGGACUGUGACUCGUUCCGUGCAGGAGGGCAUCUUGCUCCGAGUCUGUGUCCCGGGUGCCUCUCUUCUUUCUUCUCUGGAGCUCUUCUGUGUCUCUGGGGGCCUCUCUCGGGGACCACCUCUAACUCCUUGUCUUCCAGUCUCCUUCCUUCCUCUUUCCUAACUCCCCACCUUCACCCGUUCCUCUCCCCAGCACCACUGUGCUGUGCCCAUCACCGACUGUAAUAUCCAACCGAACUCUCUUUUCACUGUUUGUUGAAUACAGUGUUAUUUCUUAGAAAA